rnacentral:rRNA from 1 species
GACGAACGCUGGCGGCGUGCUUAACACAUGCAAGUCGAACGGAAAGGCCCUGCUUUUGUGGGGUGCUCGAGUGGCGAACGGGUGAGUAACACGUGAGUAACCUGCCCUUGACUUUGGGAUAACUUCAGGAAACUGGGGCUAAUACCGGAUAGGAUCUCCUGCUGCAUGGUGGGGGUUGGAAAGUUUCGGCGGUUGGGGAUGGACUCGCGGCUUAUCAGCUUGUUGGUGGGGUAGUGGCUUACCAAGGCUUUGACGGGUAGCCGGCCUGAGAGGGUGACCGGCCACAUUGGGACUGAGAUACGGCCCAGACUCCUACGGGAGGCAGCAGUGGGGAAUAUUGCACAAUGGGCGGAAGCCUGAUGCAGCAACGCCGCGUGCGGGAUGCCGGCCUUCGGGUUGUAAACCGCUUUCGCCUGUGACGAAGCGUGAGUGACGGUAAUGGGUAAAGAAGCACCGGCUAACUACGUG